UAAGCAAAUCGAAUCAGGAGAGGUGUGUGUGUGAGUCAGUGGGGAUUUCAUGCAUGGUGUAUCUACGUGUUUGAGUGUUUGUUAUUCUAUGAUAACGAUGACGAUUGCUUACAUCGACUGCUGCGUGGAAUGCAACGUGUGCCCGAAGAGACUGCUCCGCACCAGGGGAAGCAUGCGACAAUGGCGUCCAGCUGCUCAUAGGUAUCGCUAAUGACUGUGCACAUUCAACGCAAACAUUAUCCAGUGCCAGCGAUUAGUUUUUGUGUGCGUUUGGUUGGAGAGAUAGAAGUAUAACAAAACCAGUGCAACCAAAAAUGGAAACCGGAUGGGCAUACUUGAAUUGGAAACCUCCUUG